UUGGGGUGAGGUAGUAGGUUGUAUAGUUUGGGGCUCUGCCCUGCCAUGGGACAACUAUACAAUCUACUGUCUUUCCUGA
rnacentral:pre_miRNA from 1 species